rnacentral:snRNA from 1 species
UGAAGAUAUGAUAAAUUAAGU